UGGUGGGUAGUUUGACUGGGGCGGUCUCCUCCUAAAGAGUAACGGAGGAGCACGAAGGUUAGCUAAUCCUGGUCGGACAUCAGGAGGUUAGUGCAAUGGCAUAAGCUAGCUUGACUGCGAGCGUGACGGCGCGAGCAGGUGCGAAAGCAGGUCAUAGUGAUCCGGUGGUUCUGAAUGGAAGGGCCAUCGCUCAACGGAUAAAAGGUACUCCGGGGAUAACAGGCUGAUACCGCCCAAGAGUUCAUAUCGACGGCGGUGUUUGGCACCUCGAUGUCGGCUCAUCACAUCCUGGGGCUGAAGUAGGUCCCAAGGGUAUGGCUGUUCGCCAUUUAAAGUGGUACGCGAGCUGGGUUUAGAACGUCGUGAGACAGUUCGGUCCCUAUCUGCCGUGGGCGCUGGAGAAUUGAGGGGGGCUGCUCCUAGUACGAGAGGACCGGAGUGGACGCAUCACUGGUGUUCGGGUUGUCAUGCCAAUGGCAUUGCCCGGUAGCUAAAUGCGGAAAAGAUAAGUGCUGAAAGCAUCUAAGCACGAAACUUGCCCCGAGAUGAGUUCUCCCUUGUCCCUUGAGGACAC
rnacentral:rRNA from 1 species